UUGACCUCGGAUCAGGUAGGAAUACCCGCUGAACUUAAGCAUAUCAAUAAGC
rnacentral:rRNA from 19 species